rnacentral:rRNA from 1 species
UACGUAGGGGGCAAGCGUUGUCCGGAAUCAUUGGGCGUAAAGCGCGUGUAGGCUGCUUCGAAAGUCGGAUGUGAAAGCCCUGGGCUCAACCUAGGAAGUGCAUUCGAAACUUCGAGCUGGAGUCCUGGAGAGGAAGGCGGAAUUCUCGGUGUAGAGGUGAAAUUCGUAGAUAUCGAGAGGAACACCGGUGGCGAAGGGCGGCCUUACUG